rnacentral:rRNA from 1 species
CUACGGGGCGCAGCAGUGGGGAAUAUUGCACAAUGGGCGCAAGCCUGAUGCAGCCAUGCCGCGUGUAUGAAGAAGGCCUUCGGGUUGUAAAGUACUUUCAGCGGGGAGGAAGGGAGUAAAGUUAAUACCUUUGCUCAUUGACGUUACCCGCAGAAGAAGCACCGGCGAACUCCGUGCCAGCAGCCGCGGUAAUACGGAGGGUGCAAGCGUUAAUCGGAAUUACUGGGCGUAAAGCGCACGCAGGCGGUUUGUUAAGUCAGAUGUGAAAUCCCCGGGCUCAACCUGGGAACUGCAUCUGAACUGGCAAGCUUGGGUCUCGUAGAGGGGGGUAGAAUUCCAGGUGUAGCGGUGAAAUGCGUAGAGAUCUGGAGGAAUACCGGUGGCGAAGGCGGCCCCCUGGACGAAGACUGACGCUCAGGUGCGAAAGCGUGGGGAGCAAACAGGAUUAGAUACCCUCGUAGUC